UUAAUUGGAUUCAACGCCGGAAAACUCACCAUAGCCGACGGACAAAUGAAGGUCAGUGUAAUGAACUUACCGGAUUGUUCGAGAGGUAGUGCAUGGCCGCCGUCAGUUCGUACCGUAAGGCGUUCUGUUAAGUCAGAUAACGAACGAGACCCUCAUCUCUAUUUGCCACCAGAUCUCCGGAUCUGACGGGACUAUAGAGAGACCGCUGGCGCUAAGUCAGAGGAAGGGGAGGGCAACGGUAGGUCAGUAUGCUCCGAAUGCUAUGGGCUACACGCGCAAUACAAAGGACGGGACAAUGGGCUGCUACUCCGAAAGGAAUGACGCUAUCCCGAAACCCGUUCGUAGUUCGGAUUGAGGGCUGUAACUCGCCCUCAUGAAGCUGGAUUAGGUAGUAAUCGCGUCUCAAUAAGGCGCGGUGAAUAUGCCCCUGCUCCUUGCACACACCGCCCGUCAAACCAUCUUAGUUGUGGGUGGGCGAGGCUACCUCUUAAUGUGGUAUUCGAGCCUGCCUUCGACAAGGAGGGUUAAGUCGUAACAAGGUAGCC
rnacentral:rRNA from 1 species